rnacentral:piRNA from 1 species
UAAGCAUUAAUUACACUCUUGAUUCCUG